rnacentral:rRNA from 1 species
AAACUGCGAAUGGCUCAUUAAAUCAGUUAUCGUUUAUUUGAUAGUACCUUACUACAUGGAUACCUGUGGUAAUUCUAGAGCUAAUACAUGCUAAAAACCCCGACUUCAGGAAGGGGUGUAUUUAUUAGAUAAAAAACCAACGCCCUUCGGGGCUCCUUGGUGAAUCAUAAUAACUUAACGAAUCGCAUGGCCUUGCGCCGGCGAUGGUUCAUUCAAAUUUCUGCCCUAUCAACUUUCGAUGGUAGGAUAGUGGCCUACCAUGGUGGCAACGGGUAACGGGGAAUUAGGGUUCGAUUCCGGAGAGGGAGCCUGAGAAACGGCUACCACAUCCAAGGAAGGCAGCAGGCGCGCAAAUUACCCAAUCCCGAUACGGGGAGGUAGUGACAAUAAAUACUGAUACGGGGCUCUUUUGGGUCUCGUAAUUGGAAUGAGAACAAUUUAAAUCCCUUAACGAGGAACAAUUGGAGGGCAAGUCUGGUGCCAGCAGCCGCGGUAAUUCCAGCUCCAAUAGCGUAUAUUAAAGUUGUUGCAGUUAAAAAGCUCGUAGUUGAACCUUGGGCCUGGCUGGCCGGUCCGCCUCACCGCGAGUACUGGUCCGGCUGGGCCUUUCCUUCUGGGGAACCUCAUGGCCUUCACUGGCUGUGGGGGGAACCAGGACUUUUACUGUGAAAAAAUUAGAGUGUUCAAAGCAGGCCUUUGCUCGAAUACAUUAGCAUGGAAUAAUAGAAUAGGACGUGUGGUUCUAUUUUGUUGGUUUCUAGGACCGCCGUAAUGAUUAAUAGGGAUAGUCGGGGGCGUCAGUAUUCAGCUGUCAGAGGUGAAAUUCUUGGAUUUGCUGAAGACUAACUACUGCGAAAGCAUUCGCCAAGGAUGUUUUCAUUAAUCAGGGAACGAAAGUUAGGGGAUCGAAGACGAUCAGAUACCGUCGUAGUCUUAACCAUAAACUAUGCCGACUAGGGAUCGGACGGGAUUCUAUAAUGACCCGUUCGGCACCUUACGAGAAAUCAAAG